GGUGGUUUGGAAAGCAAAACGAUCCUAUUCAACAAUAGAGGAGAAAUUAGGAGCUUGAAAAUAGCAGCAAAUUGGAAUGAAAAGAAUGCCAAUUACCAACUUUGAUCCCUCUUUUCUUUAUUUUUGUUUGAAAGAAAUAUUUUGUGAUAGACACAUCUUGAAGUUUUCCACUUUUCUUUUGUUUUAAGCAGUGGGAGAUUUGGUAAACCUGUCCUUUAUCCUGCAAAUUCCCACCCUGAACCCUUUGUCCUAAAACUUCUGACUAAUUUCUAGGUAUUUUGAAUACUUAAGUUUGAGAAGACGUGGGAACUGACGACUUCUGUCCUUCGAGGAGAUGGCAUGAAUUACUGCAAUUGGAAAAUAAUUAAGAAGCAAUUACAGAAACAAACAGAAAUCCUGUGCGUACAGCCAGGCCAUUAAAAUAUGUUCUCUAAGAAAUUACCACAGCCACGCUGGAAAGAAAAGCGACAUUUAAAUAAAGUUAUGGUUAUAACAAACUAAAAAGGAAGAAAAAACCAAAGCAAUUCGUGCUGGAAAGACAAGCAUUGGCUGCUAUGCGACUGUGCUGUAAACGUGAGUGUGUGCAAGUGGGACACGAGGGGGGAACAGCUUCAUGCCUCCCUUCUCCAGCAAGCAGGUAACUGUGCAUUGAAGUACGCCGGUAUUCUGCUGUUGUGCUGGGAGUGCCUCCUGCUCCACGUAUGGCAGAAUGAGACCCAUUGCUCACCACCCCACACGGCAUAUCGCUGCAUCGAUCAAACGCUGCUGCAAUAAAAGUCAGGCCCUAUCCAUGUGCCAAUAGGGAGGGAUGUUUCUGAUUAUAAAUUCUCUAUGCAGAGUGCUGGCUAGCUCAUUGAAAAGGCAGAAAUCAAUGACAUUAGCACUCAUAAACCACAUGCAUUGUGACUGCUUCUCAGAACAGCCCUAAUUGGCAUAUGUCUGUCUUAUUGGCCUGCCUCAUAACAAUGCCCCAAAUGAUUCAUGAGACCAAAUAAGAAACAGGUGCAACCAAAACAGCACUCUGUGCCAAAAAUUCAUCUCUUAUGUAAGGAGAGGGGCCAAGGGCAUGGCUCAAACUGCUCCUUAUCGACUCCAGGAUGUGACUUCAAC
rnacentral:lncRNA from 1 species